ACAUGGGAAAUCGUCUUCCGAGAAUUUUUCUCAGUUCGAGAGGUGCGCUAUAAAUACUUCUAUUUAUUGAUCAAGGCCAACAGCCAACAAUAAUACUAUGCCUCUGGUGGAUGCCGUGUCUCGCUCUCAUUAGAAGCCACGGGUGAUACUUGAGUGCUGUACGCUCCAAUGGAGUUUCAUCACGGAACUGCCCGUUGGGAUUUCCUUGCAGCAUUAGCCAGAGUGAGUAGGAUGUUGAUGAUGAUGAUCCUCAUACAGCUUCUUCUGUUGGGCUUCUGUGUGCAAUCUUCAUCAGCAGCCCAAAGCUAUAAUAUCUCAGAUGGGGAGGCAAUGGUGGCCUACCGACGCUUCCUGCUGAACAAUGGCGUCGGCCGCACCCCCCCUAUGGGGUGGAAUAGUUGGAACCAUUUUUACUGUAACAUCGAUGAGUGGACAGUGAAAUCUACGGCUGAUGCUCUGGUUGCAACUGGUUUGGCCUCACUUGGAUAUCGAUAUGUUAACAUUGAUGAUUGUUGGGCAGAGGGAAGCAGAGAUAGAUAUGGUAAUCUAGUUGCCCGAGCUUCGACUUUCCCAUCUGGCAUCAAAGCUCUUGCGGAUUAUGUUCACAGCAAGGGAUUGAAGUUGGGGAUAUACUCUGAUGCCGGUUACACUACCUGCAGCAAAACCAUGCCUGGUUCUCUUGGUCAUGAGGAGCAAGACGCGAGAAUAUUUGCCUCUUGGGGUGUUGAUUAUUUGAAAUAUGAUAACUGCUACAAUGAUGGUGCCAGGCCUCAAGAUAGGUAUUUGAAAAUGAGCCAGGCAUUAUUAAGUUCUGGAAGACCAAUCUUCUAUUCUAUUUGUGAAUGGGGUGAUCAAAAUCCAGCACAAUGGGCUGCCCGUAUUGGCAAUGCAUGGCGGACUACCGGAGACAUUAAAGACACAUGGGAUAGCAUGACAUCUAUUGCAGAUAUCAAUAAUCUGUGGGGGAGAUAUGCUGGACCUGGUAGAUGGAAUGAUCCUGAUAUGCUGGAAGUAGGAAAUGGUGGGAUGAACAUAGAGGAAUAUCGUUCACAUUUUAGUAUCUGGGCACUGAUGAAGGCUCCAUUGCUGAUUGGAUGCGAUAUUCGGUCUGCAAGCAGAGCAACCUUGAACAUCAUUGGAAAUAAAGAGGUUAUAUCUGUUAAUCAAGACCCGUUGGGUGUCCCAGGAAGGAAAAUCAGAUCAACAAAUGGGUUGGAGGUAGUUCACAAGUAUGGGCUGGACCACUGUCUGCGAGAAGAAUUGCAGUCGUCCUAUGGAAUAGAAGCUCAUUGCGUGCUCUUAUAACUGCAGGAUGGAGUGAGAUCGGCAUAUCCUUAUACACCCGUGUUGCUGUGAGAGAUCUAUGGGCGCAGUUAUAUGUUUCAAGGAGUCAGCAAUUCCAGCUUGCAGCAUAUGUUGGACCUCAUGCUUGUAAGAUGUACAUUUUUACUCCCCUCUAAGAGGAAAAAAAUUUAAGGGAAGCUAAAGCCGUAAGGCAAAUGAUAUGUGCAAUGAAUUAUCUGUUCUGUAAUAAAUAUCUGUGAAAUGAAUGUGUCUC